CCACGCCCUAAACGAUGUCUACUAGUUGUCGGGUCUUAAUUGACUUGGUAAUGCAGCUAACGCGUGAAGUAGACCGCCUGGGGAGUACGGUCGCAAGAUUAAAACUCAAAGGAACUGACGGGGACCCGCACAAGCGGUGGAUGAUGUGGAUUAAUUCGAUGCAACGCGAAAAACCUUACCUACCCUUGACAUGGCUGGAAUCCUCGAGAGAUUGAGGAGUGCUCGAAAGAGAACCAGUACACAGGUGCUGCAUGGCUGUCGUCAGCUCGUGUCGUGAGAUGUUGGGUUAAGUCCCGCAACGAGCGCAACCCUUGUCAUUAGUUGCUACGAAAGGGCACUCUAAUGAGACUGCCGGUGACAAACCGGAGGAAGGUGGGGAUGACGUCAAGUCCUCAUGGCCCUUAUGGGUAGGGCUUCACACGUCAUACAAUGGUACAUACAGAGCGCCGCCAACCCGCGAGGGGGAGCUAAUCGCAGAAAGUGUAUCGUAGUCCGGAUUGUAGUCUGCAACUCGACUGCAUGAAGUUGGAAUCGCUAGUAAUCGCGGAUCAGCAUGUCGCGGUGAAUACGUUCCCGGGUCUUGUACACACCGCCCGUCGCACCAUGGGAGCGGGUCUUACCAGAAGUAGGUAGCUUAACCGUAAGGAGGGCGCUUACCACGGUAGGAUUCGUGACUGGGGUGAAGUCGUAACAA
rnacentral:rRNA from 1 species